AUUGAACGCUGGCGGCAGGCUUAACACAUGCAAGUCGAGCGGAGAUGAGGUGCUUGCACCUUAUCUUAGCGGCGGACGGGUGAGUAAUGCUUAGGAAUCUGCCUAUUAGUGGGGGACAACAUUCCGAAAGGAAUGCUAAUACCGCAUACGCCCUACGGGGGAAAGCAGGGGAUCUUCGGACCUUGCGCUAAUAGAUGAGCCUAAGUCGGAUUAGCUAGUUGGGGGGGUAAAGGCCUACCAAGGCGACGAUCUGGAGCGGGUAGGUGAGGAUGAGCCGCCAAACUGGGACGGUGACACGGCCCAGACGCCUACGGGAGGCAGCAGUGGGGAAUCGUGGGCAAUGGGCGGAAGCCUGAGCCAGACAUGCCGCGUGUGGAAAGAGGGCCUUUUGGUUGUAAAGCACUUUAAGCGAGGAGGAGGCUACCUGGAUUAAUACUCUAGGAUAGUGGACGUUACUCGCAGAAUAAGCACCGGCUAACUCUGUGCCAGCAGCCGCCGUAAUAC
rnacentral:rRNA from 1 species